rnacentral:rRNA from 1 species
UGGCGANCGGGUGAGUAACGCGUGAGCAACCUGACCUUUUGAGGGGGAUAACAACCGGAAACGGUUGCUAAUACCGCAUAAGACCACGCUGUCGCAUGACAGAGAGGUCAAAGGAGCAAUCCGCAGAAGGAGGGGCUCGCGUCCCAUUAGAUAGUUGGUGAGGUAACGGCUCACCAAGUCAGCGAUGGGUAGCCGAGCUGAGAGGCUGAACGGCCACACUGGAACUGAGACACGGUCCAGACUCCUACGGGAGGCAGCAGUGGGGAAUAUUGGGCAAUGGGGGAAACCCUGACCCAGCAACGCCGCGUGAGUGAAGAAGGCCUUCGGGUUGUAAAGCUCUGUCGCAGGGGACGAAGAAAGUGACGGUACCCUGUGAGGAAGCCCCGGCUAACUACGUGCCGGCAGCCGCGGUAAUACGUAGGGGGCGAGUGUUGUCCGGAAUUACUGGGCGUAAAGGGUGCGUANGCGGCUUGUUAAGUUGGAUGUGAAAUACCCGGGCUCAACCUGGGGGGUGCAUUCCAUACUGGCAGGCUANANUGCAGGANAGGGAA